rnacentral:rRNA from 1 species
UACGUAGGGCGCAAGCGUUAUCCGGAAUUAUUGGGCGUAAAGAGCUCGUAGGCGGUUUGUCGCGUCUGCCGUGAAAGUCCGGGGCUCAACUCCGGAUCUGCGGUGGGUACGGGCAGACUAGAGUGAUGUAGGGGAGACUGGAAUUCCUGGUGUAGCGGUGAAAUGCGCAGAUAUCAGGAGGAACACCGAUGGCGAAGGCAGGGUCUCUGGGCAUUAACUGACGCUGAGGAGCGAAAGCAUGGGGAGCGAACAGG